UGGGGGAUAUUGCGCAAUGGGGGAAACCCUGACGCAGCAACGCCGCGUGAAGGAUGAAGGCCUUCGGGUUGUAAACUUUUUUGAUUAGGGAAGAAACAAAUGACGGUACCUAAAAAACAAGCCACGGCUAACUACGUGCCAGCAGCCGCGGUAAUACGUAGGUGGCAAGCGUUGUCCGGAUUUACUGGGUGUAAAGGGCGUGUAGGCGGGCUUUUAAGUUGGAUGUGAAAUCUUUGGGCUUAACCCAAAAACUGCAUUCAAAACUGAUAGUCUAGAGUGUCGGAGAGGAAAGCGGAAUUCCUAGUGUAGCGGUGAAAUGCGUAGAUAUUAGGAGGAACACCGGUGGCGAAGGCGGCUUUCUGGACGAUAACUGACGCUGAGGCGCGAAAGCGUGGGGAGCAAACA
rnacentral:rRNA from 1 species